rnacentral:rRNA from 1 species
UACGAAGGGGGCUAGCGAUGUUCGGAAUUACUGGGCGUAAAGCGCACGUAGGCGGCUUUUUAAGUCAGGGGUGAAAUCCCGGGGCUCAACCUCGGAACUGCCCUUGAAACUGGGAAGCUAGAAUCUUGGAGAGGCGAGUGGAAUUCCGAGUGUAGAGGUGAAAUUCGUAGAUAUUCGGAAGAACACCAGUGGCGAAGGCGACUCGCUGGACAAGUAUUGACGCUGAGGUGCGAAAGCGUGGGGAGCAAACAGG